rnacentral:rRNA from 1 species
AUGAACGCUAGCUACAGGCUUAACACAUGCAAGUCGAGGGGCAGCAUGGUCUUAGCUUGCUAAGACUGAUGGCGACCGGCGCACGGGUGAGUAACACGUAUCCAACCUGCCGUCUACUCUUGGACAGCCUUCUGAAAGGAAGAUUAAUACAAGAUGGCAUCAUGAGUCCGCAUGUUCACAUGAUUAAAGGUAUUCCGGUAGACGAUGGGGAUGCGUUCCAUUAGAUAGUAGGCGGGGUAACGGCCCACCUAGUCUUCGAUGGAUAGGGGUUCUGAGAGGAAGGUCCCCCACAUUGGAACUGAGACACGGUCCAAACUCCUACGGGAGGCAGCAGUGAGGAAUAUUGGUCAAUGGGCGAGAGCCUGAACCAGCCAAGUAGCGUGAAGGAUGACUGCCCUAUGGGUUGUAAACUUCUUUUAUAAAGGAAUAAAGUCGGGUAUGGAUACCCGUUUGCAUGUACUUUAUGAAUAAGGAUCGGCUAACUCCGUGCCAGCAGCCGCGGUAAUACGGAGGAUCCGAGCGUUAUCCGGGUUUAUUGGGUUUAAAGGGAGCGUAGAUGGAUGUUUAAGUCAGUUGUGAAAGUUUGCGGCUCAACCGUAAAAUUGCAGUUGAUACUGGAUAUCUUGAGUGCAGUUGAGGCAGGCGGAAUUCGUGGUGUAGCGGUGAAAUGCUUAGAUAUCACGAAGAACUCCGAUUGCGAAGGCAGCCUGCUAAGCUGCAACUGACAUUGAGGCUCGAAAGUGUGGGUAUCAAACAGGAUUAGAUACCCUGGUAGUCCACACGGUAAACGAUGAAUACUCGCUGUUUGCGAUAUACUGCAAGCGGCCAAGCGAAAGCGUUAAGUAUUCCACCUGGGGAGUACGCCGGCAACGGUGAAACUCAAAGGAAUUGACGGGGGCCCGCACAAGCGGAGGAACAUGUGGUUUAAUUCGAUGAUACGCGAGGAACCUUACCCGGGCUUAAAUUGCAGAUGAAUUACGGUGAAAGCCGUAAGCCGCAAGGCAUCUGUGAAGGUGCUGCAUGGUUGUCGUCAGCUCGUGCCGUGAGGUGUCGGCUUAAGUGCCAUAACGAGCGCAACCCUUGUUGUCAGUUACUAACAGGUUCCGCUGAGGACUCUGACAAGACUGCCAUCGUAAGAUGUGAGGAAGGUGGGGAUGACGUCAAAUCAGCACGGCCCUUACGUCCGGGGCUACACACGUGUUACAAUGGGGGGUACAGAGGGCCGCUACCACGCGAGUGGAUGCCAAUCCCCAAAACCUCUCUCAGUUCGGACUGGAGUCUGCAACCCGACUCCACGAAGCUGGAUUCGCUAGUAAUCGCGCAUCAGCCACGGCGCGGUGAAUACGUUCCCGGGCCUUGUACACACCGCCCGUCAAGCCAUGGGAGCCGGGGGUACCUGAAGUGCGUAACCGCGAGGAGCGCCCUAGGGUAAAACUGGUGACUGGGGCU